AAUAUAUCACAUAUAUUUAUUUUUCUGUGAACUUUUUAACCGUAGUUCCCUCCGAGAAUUUGCUGCUCUCUCAACGGCAACAAUAACCUUUGGUUCUCUGCUGUUCAUCAUUUUGAACAAGUUAAAUUAACGGACACUAACGGAUACGAAAUUUGACAAAACUCGCUCAGAUACAGGUGAAGGUCUCAGGAUGGAUCAGUUUGAGGAUGACGUCACUGAGGAAGAGCAGCAGUCACCUGGUCAGUCAGAUCUGCCCACAGGAAGCCAGGAUCAGGUGCAGGACCAGGAGACGCCAACCCAGAGUCAAGACAGUGGUGAUGAGUGGGACACUGACCUGGAAACAGACAAUGGCUCAAAUCAGAAACCGAGUUUGUCCCAUGCAGAGCUCUACCUGCAGGCUUGUCAUCAGUUGGGGUGCAUUCCUGCAUCCUCCUUCCUGCAACAAUUGGAUAAGGCCAAUAUCAACCUGAACCACUAUGGCUUGGGACCUCGUGGGGCCAAAGCUCUGGCCAUAGCUCUGCAAAAUAACAAUAGCAUCACCAACCUUGAGCUUGAGGCCAACAGAAUUGGGGCCAAGGGGACACAGUCUCUGAUGGAGAUGCUUCUAGCAAACAACACCAUCAACAGUCUAAAUCUUUCCAUGAACAAGCUGGGCCUUGAAGGAGCGGACAGCAUUUCUAAAAUGCUGUCAGACAAUUAUUACGUCAAAUACAUCAAACUCUCAGGAAAUGAUUUUGAUGAUACUGCUGCUAAACAAUUGGCUGAUGCUUUAGAGGCUGACCAGGUGGUCAAAGAGCUGGACCUCAGUAACAACAAUUUCAGUGAAGCAGGAGGAGUACACCUGGGGCAUAUGCUAGCCACAAAUGUAGGUAUUGAAGACCUAAAUUUGAGCUGGAACCGCCUUAACAUGGGAGGUGCAGUGGCUUUGUGUGCUGGGCUGAAGGCGAACUCGACUCUGAAGCAGCUCCAUUUAUCGUGGAAUGGUUUCGGCCACAUCGAGGCAGAGUUCCUGGGUCAAGUACUGAAACAAAACAGCACACUGGUGCUGCUGGACCUCAGCUGGAACCGGAUAGACGACGAGGCUGUGAAACUUCUCUGCCAGGGCCUGGCCACCAACAGCACCCUCAGGGUCCUCAAGCUCUCCGACAACCCCAUGACAAAAAUCGGAGCCCUUAUGUUGCUCAAAACAGUCAAAAACAACAUGAAAUCCGCCCUGGAGGAGAUCGAUAUCUCUACAGUGCUUGUGUGUGAGGCCUUUGUGGAGCUGUUGGAAGAAGCCCGUCAGAAGCGUCCUGCUCUGGAUGUUCGGCACACCGCCUUGAGCUCUGUCACCAGGAACGUAGCGGCCCUCAAGAUCUUUCUGAAAUUCCUUGAAGAGCGAAAUGAGAGCUUCAUGGAUUUCUUUAAAGCUUUAGAUAAAGAAGGAAGCAUGAAGAUCUCCAACUCUCUCUUCAGGGAGGCUGUUAAGGCAGCCAACGUUCCUCUGGAUCGGCAGCAGGUUGAGUGGUUGAUCAGGAAGUUUGACAAGGACCGCACAGCCUACAUCACCUACAGUCAGUUUGCUGAGCUGUCAUAGAUAUAGGGAUGUACAGCACCACCGAGAUGAGGAGGAAAACAUCUUCAUAUAAAAGAAAGACAUCUUCUUAUUAAAGCAAAUUAUAAUUGUUGUUCAGACAUUUGUGUAGGUGCUGGCAGAGAAACAAAGACGUACAUUAGGACCCAUUGUCCCCUGUGAUUAUUAAAGUAAACAGAAAUACUGAAGGGGUAUCAUACACAGCUGCACACACUCGAGCCGGUGUUUGUGAAGUGGGAGAAAGGGCCAAGCAACCCUUAAGACUUUGUCAGAGAUGAUCCCAUUAUUUGGAGCUUCUCAAGAGCCGAGCGGUAGGCUGGCUAAUGAGGCUUUGAAGAUGGCUCUUGGGCACAGGAUUCAUCGGCAGCAGAGAAUUUGGGAGCAAAAUAGACUUGGCACGAGAUAAAAUGCUUCAGCCAAGAUCGGCCGAGGAGACGUUCCCUGCCUCAGACCCAUUUUGCCGUUGUCAUGAUUUUGAAUCCUUUUCAAAAAGACAAAGUCCGCUCUUGGAAGAUAAAACUUGAGAUAAAAUCAAUGUCAACAGUUUGUCUUGUGCAGUCUACAUAUACAACCUCAGACAUGUUUAAAGGUCGUGGUAUGAGCGAACAAUUCAAGGCCCACAGAGAUUUAAUUUAGAAUCAAACUGUAAGACCAACUAGAGUAGGAAAACUUAACAUUUGAAGGCUGGAUCCUUAA